rnacentral:tRNA from 1 species
GCGCCCGUAGCUCAACCGGAUAGAGCGUCUGACUUCGGAUCAGAAGGUUGAGGGUUCGAAUCCUUCCGGGCGUACCA